rnacentral:rRNA from 1 species
UACGGAGGAUCCGAGCGUUAUCCGGAUUUAUUGGGUUUAAAGGGUGCGCAGGCGGGGGAUUAAGUCGGCGGUGAAAUUUUGCAGCUCAACUGUAAAAGUGCCUUCGAAACUGGUUUCCUUGAGUGUAGAUGAAGUAGGCGGAAUUUGUGGUGUAGCGGUGAAAUGCAUAGAUAUCACGAGGAACUCCGAUUGCGCAGGCAGCUUACUAAGCUACUACUGACGCUCAGGCACGAAGGCGUGGGGAUCAAACAGGAUUAGAUACCCCCGUAGU